GGAGAGUUCCUGCUUCAAAACUCCACUUCACAUAAUUCCAUGGCACUACUCUGAUAAUGAGUUCCUACUGGAGGGCCACAUGUCCCAUACCACAAUCUCUCCCACUCUGCAGACUUGGAAACAAACAAGGGGUGCUUUCAACCUCUCCUCACAUCCCUCUCUUCUAAAACCUCUAACUUCCAAUCCAUUAUUCCCCCUGAGCUACGUAGUCAAGCUUUUGACUUUAUUCACACACUGCAGAAAACACAUUGCCUUAGAUUGGCAUCAGUCUUAGAUGGGGCCAAUA